rnacentral:rRNA from 1 species
GGCAGAUCCAUUUUCUGCCACCGAAUACAUUAGCAUGGGAUAAUGGAAUAGGACCCUGUCMCUAUUUUCAGUUGGUUUUGGCAGCGCGAGGACUAGGSUAAUGAUUAAUAGGGAUAGUUGGGGGCAUUAAUAUUUAAUUGUCAGAGGUGAAAUUCUUGGAUUUAUGAAAGAUUAACUUCUGCGAAAGCAUCUGCCAAGGAUGUUUUCAUUAAUCAAGAACGAAAGUUAGGGGAUCGAAGACGAUCAGAUACCGUCGUAGUCUUAACCAUAAACGAUGCCGACCAGCGAUUAGGAGACGUUGAAUACAAAACACCACCAUCGGCGCGGUCGUCCUUGGCGUCUCGGUCCUUCACGGGGCCGGGGCGCGGGGGCGGCUUAGCCCGGUGGCACCGGUGAAUGACUCCCCUAGCAGCUUGUGAGA